rnacentral:rRNA from 1 species
UCAUCGUAGGGUUAGUCGGGACCUAAGUCGAGUCCGAAAGGGGUAGACGAUGGCAAAUAGGUUAAUAUUCCUAUACCGACGGUUGUUUGUUUGAAUGAUGGGGGGACGCAUAGAGUUAAUCGAGCUCACUGAUGGAAUAGUGGGUCGAAGGACGUAGGUCGUGAAGUGGGCAAAUCCGCUUCACAUUCGACCGAGAUCUUACAGGCUCUGCAAUUGCUUCGGCAAGCGCGGAGAAUCGAUGAUACUGUCGUGCCGAGAAAAGCCUCUAAAUGAGAACAACCGUUGCCCGUACCGUAAACCGACACAGGUGGGUGAGAUGAGUAUUCUAAGGCGCGUGGAUGAACCCUGGUUAAGGAACUCUGCAAACUAGCACCGUAUCUUCGGUAUAAGGUGUGCCCUAUUUGUUAGGAGAUUUACUCUCUGAAGCAUUGAUGGGUCGCAACAAAGAGUCCCUCCCGA